UUGAUUUAUUUGCUUGCGCCACUCAGAAAAUACCACGAGGUAAAAACAAGAGUUUGGAGCCUCCGGCGGGCGCCUGAUUCCGGGCACAUAGGCGCCGGGGCACUCCCGCCGAAGCAACGAUAGGUGAGAUUCACAUGGGUUUGGGAGUUUUUACACUCAAUAAUGAUCCCUCCGCUGGUUCACCAACGGAGA
rnacentral:misc_RNA from 1 species